rnacentral:sRNA from 1 species
CAUAGAUCGAUGUACUUUAAACUUUUUGUCAGCUAAGUUCCAAGGAACCAUGUACCACUGAUACCUGCUUCUUGCUCUUUUCUGGCAUCAGGGUGACUCCAAAUCUUUUAGCAGCACAUUCGCAGGAAGCAGGCUAUCACUAUCUAUAGUGCCAGAGCUUUUAGAGCUAACAAUCAGUCCCCACACUUUGAGCUUUCUGACCAUUGUGAAUGGUUCAGUAACUCCUGCUCGUGCUCCCUGGGAAGGCAUGUAGUAAUGGCUUUCUCUUCUCCAUCCACAGGCUUUGUGGACAUGUGUGUGCAGCAUAUCCCUUCUCCAAAGGUGGGCGCCAAGCCCAAGAUUGAGCACACCUACACUGGCGGUGUGGACUCCGACCUCGGCGAGGCUAUGAGUGACUGUGACCCUGAUGGCCCCCUGAUGUGCCACACUACUAAGAUGUACAGCACAGAUGAUGGAGUCCAGUUUCACGCCUUUGGCCGGGUGCUGAGUGGCACCAUUCAUGCUGGGCAGCCUGUGAAGGUACUGGGGGAGAACUACACCCUGGAGGAUGAGGAAGACUCCC